rnacentral:lncRNA from 1 species
AGAAGAUUAUGAGGCACCCCAGUUCCUGCACCUGGACCAGUGAGGGAGAUGCUCAGAUGUGAUACCUGCCGCCUGCCAGGACCUGGCCGAGACUGUGGACAAAGCUGCUGGACACUGGAAAAUUGAUUGCACCCCCUUUGCCUAGACAAAACAAGACAUCUGAGUAUCAGUUGCUGACUACAGGCUGUUCUAAGUAGACUGUGAACCCUAGACUUGCUGUGGAUUAAAUAAGUUUUAACCUCUGUUCCUAGUUUAAACAUGUCUUAAACAGGUUUCUGCUUCUGGCAGACAUCUGAGUAUCAGUUGCUGACUACAGGCUGUUCUAAGUAGACUGUGAGCCCUGUACUUGCUGUGGAUGUGAACCAGUCCAGUUGAGGUGGACAACCCCUGUCUCUGCAACAGAGCCUGCCAACAGCCCCUGAUGGAUUACCCAUUGCCUAAAUUCCUUUUUUUUGCUUUUGACUAGCAUUUCAACCUUCUGGGGUCCCUAACUUUGUCCCAAAGUCAGCAGGAAGUAGCAUGGGAAAGAAUUAGCCACCCAUUUUCCCUGGUUAAAAUGCUAAGUCAGAAGGAACUCCCUUGCAUUGGGAUGCCAAUAUCUCUCACACCCUGAUGGGGGCGCUAGAGAGACAGCAAUUCCAUGAUUGGAAUUUCCAAAAAAAAUGGGGGAAUGAAGGGACCAGCUCCCCAUUUCGGCAGCCAUAACAGCUUGUCUGACCUCGUCUUAGUCACUAAGGUCAGAUGCCUGCCCCUGUCGGCAGCCAUAAUAGCUGAACACGUGCUUGUCUGACCUUGUCCUAGUCACUAGAAAGUCAGAUCCCUGCCUCAUGGCAAGGAACCAAUCAGAAGUUAGCUGGUGGUGCUAUGCUUUACUGCUCUGGGUGUGCUUUAUGGAAAAGUGCACAGCAAUGAAUCGCAGAGCAUAGCAACCUCCCUGGGAGGGCCUAUGGGCCAUAACAACCAAUUGGCUAAUCAACACAGGGCAAACCAUCCAAGCCUGGAGGCACACCAAUCCUGAGCCUAUGCAUACCCCUAGACACUCCCCUUACACUGCCCUGUAAGAUCUCUCUGCGGCCCCUUUGAGCUGUCUUUGCUAGCCAUCCGCCAUGGCGGGAGGGUGAAAGACCCGAGCUAACAUGGGGUUAGUUCAUUAAACAGCUAUAAAGCCUCAUGCAGUUUGCAGCAAAAAAACCAGUUACCUAUUUAUUUUGUGUUUGUCCACUUAAUGUGUGUGUAUGCACCCGCAUUCCUGUGUGACUGCAAACAUACAUGUAGAAUUUAGAACACAAAUUGGAGAGUGGCUUCUCUCUAUUCUUGUGGGUUCCAGGAACAGAAUUCAGGUCAUCACACUUGGCACACAGAGCCUUUAACCAGAUGAGCCAUCUCAUCCACCUUCAACUAGUUUUGACUAGGAACUAGGGACAAAAGAAUAAAAUCGACCCUUAUGGCAUGUACAAAAAACAAUUCUACUGAGUAACCAACCAAAUACAAGGUUAGAAACUAUAAAUCUACUAGAGGUAAAAUCUCCUAAACAUUGGGCAUUGUGAUGAGUGUUUAGAAUAGCACAUUAAAAAUUCAGGACAUAAAUACUAGUAUGCAAGGAUGAAGGUUCUAGAUAGAUACGAGCUCAACUUCCCCAUGUUCUGUGAGGUAUGCACACAUUGUCUUCUGCAAUAGGGCGCUACCAUCAGUGUGUGGAGAGCCAAUAGGCUUAGCAAUACCAUGGACUGAUUGGGGGUUCCCAAAGAAUCCCUUUGGCCAAGAACUUGAUUAUAUGUAACUCAUUCCUGCUACCAGAAGUUUCAUUUGGUGACAAGAGAUGUCCAGUUUGAACUCUGUCUCCCCUUUUGUUUGGUGAUUUUAUUAAGAUUGUCUUUAUGGGGGCUGGAGUAAUGGCUCAAGGGGUAAGAGCUCUUGCAGUCCUUUUAGAGGACUCAGGUUUGAUUCCUAGAACCCACAUGGCAGCUCUCAAACUGUCUGUCACACCAGUUUCAGGGUAUCGAACAUCCUCACACAGCUAUGCAUGUAGGCAAAACACCAAUGCACAUAAAAUAAUUUUUAAAAAUAUUGACUUUCUAUCAGAAGAGUCUACUGUGUUAGGUUUCUGUAUGAUCAUUCAAUUUAUUUCCUCCAUUACCCACCUCUCCAAUUCUCCAUCCAAGUUUGGUCCCCUCACUUCAACACUCCCCACUCAUCCAU